rnacentral:tRNA from 1 species
GAGGGUAUAGCUCAGUGGUAGAGUGUGUGCCUGGCAUGCAUGAGGUCCUGGGUUCAAUCCCCAGUACCUCCA